ACAGCACAGCCAUGGUGAGCGCCAAGAGACUCCUCAAGAUGGCCACCCUCCGGAGACCAAGGAUCCCCCUGUCCAAAUCAGUCCACGGAACAGCCGCGCCGCUGUGCAGCAGCCCCUCCUCCCCUGUACCCAGCAAGGGAACCUUCGUCGUCUACUCUCGGGACGGAGCACGCUUUGUGGUUCCCUUGGCGUACCUCGACGCCACCGUCUUCAGGGAGCUCCUAGAGAUUUCCAAAGAGGAGUUCGGGCUUCCCGGCGACGGCCCCAUCGUGAUGCCAUGCGAUGCAGCUCUCAUGGCUCAAGUCAUCGCGGCGCUCCGCAGAGGGGCACCUCGAGAGGCGGAGAAGGCGCUGCUCGGCACCAUCGCCGGGGUGCGGUGCUCAUCCUCGUCCUCGCCCCCGCAAGGCGUUGCCCACCGGCCACUUCUAGUCCCUGGUUUCUGAACACUGUCAGACUAACUCCCCAUUUAUACAAUCUGUAGAUAUCUACGAACAAAUGUUCAAACUAUUUGAAGGAAACUUAUGUCUCCCUAUCGUGUGGCGUAACUCUGUUCAGCAGAUGCAUUAAAGGAAAUACGUUCUUUCUUUUGAUGUAGCUAUUUUUCACUCUAUACUUCCUCCAACACGAUUCGAUCACACUUGCAGUACAAUGUUUGAUUUAAUACGAAAAUCUUCUCAAAUUAUCAAUAACAAUAUUUUGAGGGCGUUUGAUCCGAACCAAUAUUCUCUUCCUCGACAUCACUAAGCAGAAAUAAGGUUUAUAGUAUAAAUUUUGUAAUGAUGGCUGUCAUAUUGAUGAAUGAAUUUAGCUAAACUAUUUAGAUGGAAACUUUUAUUCAAUCUUUUACUCGAAGUUAACAAUAAAUUCUUGAAAAGUUCAUUUUUUUUUGUACAAAAUGAUGUCAUAUACAGCAUCUGUCACCGAUCCGCGGUUAGAAUAUAUUAAACAGUCUCGCACUGAUACCACAAGUUCCACGCAUGCCACACUCGAUUGCACUACAAUAUUCAUUAGUCCUGUUGCAAGUUCUAUACCUCUUAUUGGUAUUUUGAUGUAUACGCAUGCCACACACGAUGUUACAAUAUAUUCGUCAUGUUUGCUUUCAAAUUUCAUGGAAGAGCCGCUCGAUCAAUCGUACUUGACCAGAUUAUUAAAUUAUCCCAUGUCCAUAUUAUAAGCAAUGCUCUAAAGAUGCUACACUUACGAUUCAUCUUAAAAAACAACGUACUCGUUCUGAAGAAAAGGCUCGACUAGUUCUUUGACUUGAAGCAUCACUCCUAAGAAGCAUAAGAUUUCAUCUAAUUAAGGUGGUAUCGGAAUACCCCUGGCAUCGUAGAAUGACCGUCCUAACCCUGUAAUCCGCAGCAUCUCAUCUAGCGAACUGUAUAUUUUCUCCUCCAAAUAGGUAUCAUUUCAAUGGUCGAUGAGAUCCACUGAUGUUUAAUAUUACUACACGAAAAAAAAGUGUUUAAGACGAUACAUUUUGAAAUAUUUGUGCGUCGUAUUCUUGGUGCUGCAUUUUAGACCAAGUAUGCUCUUGAAGGCCUCGUGCUGCUCCUUAUGAUGGCAUAUCCGAAUGCAUAAGCUUACGCCUUCGAAGCCUCAUCUCGUCCCCGUACGUCCCAACGAAACGAUAUGCUCUUACUAGGAAUAUCCAGAUCUGAUGAUAAGACGGGUCCUUGAAAGGUUGUCUGUUAUCCCAUAUUGUAUCAGAGUUAUAUGGGGAAGGACUAGCUUCGUAUGUGGGUCCCGUCAUGUCUCGUCGCUGGGCCCAACCCUUAUCGUGACAACUCACGUUAUGGGUCCCAUAACAUCUUCUCUGGGGCCCUCUAGCGCCCGUUUCUGUCAGGGCAUUUAUCGUGACCAACGGGCUCCCGUGGUCAUCACGUGGCCUGGCUCGGGGUGCCGUCUCUCUCUCACCCUGCUCUUAUAAAUCUCCACCCGAGGAACCCGGACCUCCACACCCUCAGCAAAGCUCCGGCAAUCCCACAACAUCUCUCCCAUACUCUCUUCCUCCCCUCCUUAACCACUGCAUCGCCAUGGUCAGCGCCAAGAGGCUCCUCCAGAUGGCAAGGAAGUGGCAGAAGAUGGCCGCCCUCCGGAGACCGAGGAACCUUCUGUCCAGACCAGCACACGAAACCACCGCCCCGCUGCGCAGCAGCCCCUCCAGCUCUGCACCGAGCAAGGGAACCUUCGUCGUCUACUCUCGGGACGGCGGACGCUUUGCGGUUCCCUUGGCGUAUCUCAACACCCCCGUCUUCAGGGAGCUCCUCGAGAUGUCCGAGGAGGAGUUUGGAUUACCCAGCGACGGCCCCAUCGUGAUGCCAUGCGAUGCGGCUC
rnacentral:lncRNA from 1 species